ACAACUGAAAAUCAAUUCAUCAAAUAAAUACAUAGUGUAUAUGCCAGAAAUAUCCAUUUACUAAAAAAAGGUUUGUCACGUGAACAAGCUGCACCAUGUUCAACUGUCAGUCGCACCCAAAAGAAAUGCGCAACGAGAGUCUUUUUACGCACAAUCCCCCUGAGCAUCGGACACACCUUGCAGCGUAUUUACCCGCUCUAAUGGGAGAUAAGGACAUUCAUCACAUUCCUAUAAUAACAAUGCUGUUUUUUCUGUACCUGAAUGAAAUAAAUCUGCUGGUCCUUCUCGCUUGAUGAGCUCCAACAGCUGCAAACAAGUUUGUUUUUUUCCCUGCAAGUUUGAGGAUUUUCCCACGGUUCUCUCUAGUGUGGAGCUGAGGAGGGGUCCAAAAGUAGGAUCCAGAGAGGAAGAAGAAAUGCGCACUCAAUAUCUGCAAAGGAGAGAGGGGGAGGAAGAGAGAGAUAGAGAGUGAGAGGGAGAGAGACACAGACACAGACAGACAAACUGCAAGAGGUGACAUAUGUGGUCGGUUCAUUUUCUUCUCGGUCUUCGUGGCACCAUGAAAGGACGAUUCAGUCUCUUCUCAAAUAAACGGAGCUGAAUUUAAUUUUCUGUUUAACUGUUUAUCAUUUUCAACAUAUCUUCGAUGGAUUUUUUUUAUCUGAGAGGUUUCUUGCGCUCUUGGUGCAAAUGUCUCUUCUUCAUCACCAUCAUGCGGUUCAGCUGUUGUUGAAUGUGAAAGGAUCCAAGCUUGAGGUGGAAAUGGAUUCUCCGAAACGAGCUCCUGUCAUGGAGAGAAAAUGAGCUCCAUCACAUGAUGGACGACGUGCGUCUGUGGCUCAAAGACACUCAUCGUUCCGUCUGCGGAGUAUAGAGGAUGUUCUACAACAGAAAUGCUCCGUGUGACGCAACACAGUACGUCAAGCUGCAAGAGGAGAGGAAGAUCACAGCCUGUGGGGCAGUUGGGACACUUUCCUAAGGAAGUGUACAGCCUUGAGGCUGCUGCAGUUCAAACAAUACGUUCAUUAAUGAAAGCUAACAUACAACAAUGAAGUAUCUUCCGGAGUUCUUCUGAUUACGAGUACUAAAACAAGCAAAACACCCCCUCUGCCAACAGCUCAGGGCCAGACAGCCGCCUCCCGACCCAGCUAUGGCUCCCCCUAGC